AGCGUACACGGUGGAUGCCCUGGCAGUCAGAGGCGAUGAAGGACGUGCUAAUCUGCGAAAAGCGUCGGUAAGGUGAUAUGAACCGUUAUAACCGGCGAUGUCCGAAUGGGGAAACCCAGUGCAAUUCGUUGCACUAUCGUUAACUGAAUACAUAGGUUAACGAGGCGAACCGGGGGAACUGAAACAUCUAAGUACCCCGAGGAAAAGAAAUCAACCGAGAUUCCCCCAGUAGCGGCGAGCGAACGGGGAGCAGCCCAGAGUCUGAAUCAGCUUGUGUGUUAGUGGAACGGUCUGGAAAGUCCGACGGUACAGGGUGAUAGUCCCGUACACCAAAAUGCACAGGCUGUGAACUCGAAGAGUAGGGCGGGACACGUGGUAUCCUGUCUGAAUAUGGGGGGACCAUCCUCCAAGGCUAAAUACUCCUGACUGACCGAUAGUGAACCAGUACCGUGAGGGAAAGGCGAAAAGAACCCCGGCGAGGGGAGUGAAAAAGAACCUGAAACCGUGUACGUACAAGCAGUGGGAGCACCUUCGGGUGUGACUGCGUACCUUUUGUAUAAUGGGUCAGCGACUUAUAUUCUGUAGCAAGGUUAACCGUAUAGGGGAGCCGCAGGGAAACCGAGUCUUAACUGGGCGUUAAGUUGCAGGGUAUAGACCCGAAACCCGGUGAUCUAGCCAUGGGCAGGUUGAAGGUUGGGUAACACUAACUGGAGGACCGAACCGACUAAUGUUGAAAAAUUAGCGGAUGACUUGUGGCUGGGGGUGAAAGGCCAAUCAAACCGGGAGAUAGCUGGUUCUCCCCGAAAGCUAUUUAGGUAGCGCCUCGUGAAUUCAUCUUCGGGGGUAGAGCACUGUUUCGGCUAGGGGGUCAUCCCGACUUACCAACCCGAUGCAAACUACGAAUACCGAAGAAUGUUAUCACGGGAGACACACGGCGGGUGCUAACGUCCGUCGUGAAGAGGGAAACAACCCAGACCGCCAGCUAAGGUCCCAAAGUCAUGGUUAAGUGGGAAACGAUGUGGGAAGGCACAGACAGCCAGGAUGUUGGCUUAGAAGCAGCCAUCAUUUAAAGAAAGCGUAAUAGCUCACUGGUCGAGUCGGCCUGCGCGGAAGAUGUAACGGGGCUAAACCAUGCACCGAAGCUGCGGCAGCGACACUAUGUGUUGUUGGGUAGGGGAGCGUUCUGUAAGCCUGCGAAGGUGUGCUGUGAGGCAUGCUGGAGGUAUCAGAAGUGCGAAUGCUGACAUAAGUAACGAUAAAGCGGGUGAAAAGCCCGCUCGCCGGAAGACCAAGGGUUCCUGUCCAACGUUAAUCGGGGCAGGGUGAGUCGACCCCUAAGGCGAGGCCGAAAGGCGUAGUCGAUGGGAAACAGGUUAAUAUUCCUGUACUUGGUGUUACUGCGAAGGGGGGACGGAGAAGGCUAUGUUAGCCGGGCGACGGUUGUCCCGGUUUAAGCAUGUAGGCUGAUUGUCCAGGCAAAUCCGGAUAAUCAAGGCUGAGGUGUGAUGACGAGGCACUACGGUGCUGAAGUAACAAAUGCCCUGCUUCCAGGAAAAGCCUCUAAGCAUCAGGUAACAUCAAAUCGUACCCCAAACCGACACAGGUGGUCAGGUAGAGAAUACCAAGGCGCUUGAGAGAACUCGGGUGAAGGAACUAGGCAAAAUGGUGCCGUAACUUCGGGAGAAGGCACGCUGGUGUGUAGGUGAAGUCCCUGCGGAUGGAGCUGAGACCAGUCGAAGAUACCAGCUGGCUGCAACUGUUUAUUAAAAACACAGCACUGUGCAAACACGAAAGUGGACGUAUACGGUGUGACGCCUGCCCGGUGCCGGAAGGUUAAUUGAUGGGGUUAUCCGUAAGGAGAAGCUCUUGAUCGAAGCCCCGGUAAACGGCGGCCGUAACUAUAACGGUCCUAAGGUAGCGAAAUUCCUUGUCGGGUAAGUUCCGACCUGCACGAAUGGCGUAAUGAUGGCCAGGCUGUCUCCACCCGAGACUCAGUGAAAUUGAACUCGCUGUGAAGAUGCAGUGUACCCGCGGCAAGACGGAAAGACCCCGUGAACCUUUACUAUAGCUUGACACUGAACAUUGAGCCUUGAUGUGUAGGAUAGGUGGGAGGCUUUGAAGCGUGGACGCCAGUCUGCGUGGAGCCAACCUUGAAAUACCACCCUUUAAUGUUUGAUGUUCUAACGUUGGCCCCUGACCGGGGUUGCGGACAGUGUCUGGUGGGUAGUUUGACUGGGGCGGUCUCCUCCCAAAGCGUAACGGAGGAGCACGAAGGUUAGCUAAUCCUGGUCGGACAUCAGGAGGUUAGUGCAAUGGCAUAAGCUAGCUUGACUGCGAGCGUGACGGCGCGAGCAGGUGCGAAAGCAGGUCAUAGUGAUCCGGUGGUUCUGAAUGGAAGGGCCAUCGCUCAACGGAUAAAAGGUACUCCGGGGAUAACAGGCUGAUACCGCCCAAGAGUUCAUAUCGACGGCGGUGUUUGGCACCUCGAUGUCGGCUCAUCACAUCCUGGGGCUGAAGUAGGUCCCAAGGGUAUGGCUGUUCGCCAUUUAAAGUGGUACGCGAGCUGGGUUUAGAACGUCGUGAGACAGUUCGGUCCCUAUCUGCCGUGGGCGCUGGAGAAUUGAGGGGGGCUGCUCCUAGUACGAGAGGACCGGAGUGGACGCAUCACUGGUGUUCGGGUUGUCAUGCCAAUGGCACUGCCCGGUAGCUAAAUGCGGAAGAGAUAAGUGCUGAAAGCAUCUAAGCACGAAACUUGCCCCGAGAUGAGUUCU
rnacentral:rRNA from 1 species